rnacentral:misc_RNA from 1 species
UAGCAGUACAGUGGGAGGGGAC